GGAGGGUAUAGCUCAGUGGUAGAGCACAUGCUUAGCAUGCAUGAGGUCCUGGGUUCAAUCCCCAGUGCCUCCA
rnacentral:tRNA from 1 species